UCACUCUAGCGAGAAUGCCGAGGUCAACUGGGAGGAAGGUGGGGAUGACGUCAAAUCAUCAUGCCCCUUAUGUUCUGGGCUACACACGUGCUACAAUGGUCGGUACAAUGAGAGGCAAUACUGUGAAGUGGAGCAAAUCACCAAAACCGAUCCCAAUUCGGAAUGUAAGCUGCAACUCCCCUACAUGAAAUUGGAAUUGCUAGUAAUCCCAGAUCAGAAUGCUGCGGUGAAUGCCUUCCCGGGUCUUGUACACACCGCCCGUCACACCAUGGAAAUUGGGGGUGCCCAAAGUCCGUUAAUUAAUCUAUCGCCUAACGCAAAACCAAUGACUGGGGUGAAGUCGUAACUGGUAACCGUCAAGGAACCCUAA
rnacentral:rRNA from 1 species